UUUCCGUAGGUGAACCUGCGGAAGGAUCAUUAAUAAGUUGUCAUGGGGUUCGAUGCUGGCAGCCAAUUUUUGGAUGCAUGUGCUUGCCCUAACAAUCAUCUUCCAAACACCUGUGCACAUUUUUGAGGGAGUCUUGAGUUGGUUGCCGCUCUUGGGUGAUUUUCUCACAUUCCCUUAAAUCAUUAUACGCUAUUAACAAUGUUGAACGUGCUCUGUGCCGCAAGGCUAUUAAUAUAAUACAACUUUUAACAACGGAUCUCUUGGCUCUC
rnacentral:misc_RNA from 1 species